rnacentral:rRNA from 1 species
CCUACGGGAGGCAGCAGUGAGGAAUAUUGGACAAUGGAUGGAAAUCUGAUCCAGCCAUGCCGCGUGAAGGUCACGGCCCUAUGGGUCUUAAACUUCUUUUGUACGGGAGCAAUAAGGCGUAUGCAUACGUCGAUGAGAGUACCGUACGAAUAAGCAUCGGCUAACUCCGUGCCAGCAGCCGCGGUAAU